ensembl:lncRNA novel transcript
GCUUCUCGCUGGAGUGCGCACCGAGCGGCAGUGACUUCGCCGCUGCUGUAGUUCCCCGGCUGGAUGCGGUGACUGGUGCCAGUGCUCAGGCGCCCGCUGCCCUUGACCUCCCGCCCCGCGAGCCCUAACUCAGCGCAGGAGGACCGGCUGCCGCCGCCGCCGCCGCCAGAGCCUUGGCUGCCCAGUUGCCAGUCCUACCACGGUCGGAGGUAACCUUCCUGGCUCCAGUCACAUGGCCAGAUAAGGUGGUGUGUGUGGGCAUGAAUUAUGUGGACCACUGCAAAGAACAGAACGUGCCCGUGCCCAAGGAGCCCAUCAUCUUCAGCAAGUUUGCCAGCUCCAUCGUGGGGCCCUAUGAUGAGGUGGUCCUCCCACCACAGAGCCAGGAGGUAGAUUGGGAAGUGGAGCUGGCCGUGGUCAUUGGAAAGAAAGGCAAGCACAUCAAGGUGAAGUGGAAAAGGUGGGCUCCCAGGCCAGAGUGCAGCAGAGUCCCCAGCUCCUGCCUCUCCUAGUUCUGACCUCGCUCACCAACACAUGGUGCCAGCUGUCCCUGACACUAGGAAGCAGUCAGCCUCCUUGCUCCCUGACACUGCCUUUCCCUUCACCCACCUUUGGCUGGCUCUGGCUACUAACAUGGGAUAACAGCUUUGAGAUCCCUUGCCACAGGUGUUGGUGUCACCCAUGAUCUAUCCUCCUGUAUGGCCAAAUCCCCUGCCCCCAUAGGCCACAGAUGCCAUGGCCCACGUGGCCGGCUUCACUGUGGCUCAUGACGUGAGUGCUCGUGACUGGCUAACAAGAUGCAAUGGGAAACAGUGGCUGCUGGGAAAAACCUUCGACACCUUCUGCCCUCUGGGCCCUGCCUUGGUGACCAAGGACAGUGUAGCAGAUCCACACAACUUAAAGAUCUGCUGUCGAGUGAAUGGGGAAGUGGUCCAGAGCAGCAACACCAACCAGAUGGUUUGUUACCUUUUACCCAGGGGAUGUCAUCCUGACUGGGACCCCCCCACCUCCACCCAGGUGUCGGUGUAUUCAGGAAACCUCCUGUCUUUCUCAAGGUCUCUGAAGGUCCAGACAGCACUGAUGGCGAGCUUUGGGUCCGCACACUCUGGAAAGAAGAGAGAAGUGAAGGCUCUAGGUAGGGAGAACAGAGAGCCACUGGGCACAGGCUUCUCUCCUCUUGUUUAAAGAAGCCCAGGGAGGGAUAGAGCUCUGACUGGACAGAAGACUGUACUCUGCAGCCUGCCUUCCUAGAGUUGGGUUGUCACUGUCCUGCAGGGGGCAGCAGCCACCAGCAAACACCACUGCCUGCAGGAGCCUGGGCUGACUGGUUGGGACUCACCGAAGAUCCCUUCUUCCUGGGCGGUGGCCUGCAGGAACUGGAACAGCUGCUCUGUGUAGCCCAACUCUGCAGAAGAGAGAAGACCUAGACCUGGCACCCAGCACAGACACAGCCUGCCUCGAGGACUGCAAGGGAACAAGGGCCUCACCAGUAUCGGGCAGCUGGCCCUGGCGGAGGAAGGCGGCAGCCUGUGCAAAGGCCUUGAGCAGCGGGCUGAGCAGGCGGCAGAGGAAAAGAAAGAAAUCUGGGCAGUGUGACUGCUGGCUGAGCUGGAGGGGACAGGCCGGGGUGAGUGCAGCUCCCCACCGCCUCCCUACCACCUCCCUCCAGGGGCAGCUUUUUGAAACACACCCUGAAGUACCGGCCGUCAGCCUCUCCGAAGUCAUCACUGUCACUAUCAGUAAAGUCCCCACUCGGUUUCCACAGCA